GACGAACACUGGCGGCGUGCUUAACACAUGCAAGUCGAGCGGUAAGGCCCUUUCGGGGGUACACGAGCGGCGAACGGGUGAGUAACACGUGGGUGACCUGCCCUCAGCUCUGGGAUAAGCCUGGGAAACCGGGUCUAAUACUGGAUAUGACUCCAUGACGCAUGUUGUGGGGCGGAAAGCCUUGUGCGGCUGAGGAUGGGCCCGCGGCCUAUCAGCUUGUUGGUGGGGUGANGGCCUACCAAGGCGACGACGGGUAGCCGGCCUGAGAGGGCGACCGGCCACACUGGGACUGAGACACGGCCCAGACUCCUACGGGAGGCAGCAGUGGGGAAUCUUGCGCAAUGGGCGAAAGCUUGACGCAGCGACGCCGCGUGAGGGAUGACGGCCU
rnacentral:rRNA from 1 species